ACCUCUCCUGUGGCCUCUGGGAUGGCAAUAAAAUUUGAAGGAGUUCUUUCUCCUACAAACCAUUGGUACUUCAAGACCACAUCCGAAUUGCUGCUCCCAAAUAUAACCAAGCUCAAACGGAUGAGAUCCAUGGCAACCUGCUUUGGUUUGGCAAAAUCGACAAUGGUAGUCAAUGCUUGCUUGAGAUCACAUCACGGGCACCCCAUCCAGCUCUUCAUCCCACCACAAAUGUUAUUUAAGUGUCGCAAUUAUAAUGCCAUCUUAUAAGGCCCAUACUGUACAGUGAAGGAAAAGAACGGAUUUUUUUCAGGCACUGGACUUCCGUGCAUACCCAGUCUCUUCUUCAUUCAUGAGUUGUAACUAUCUUUUGUUUGC